rnacentral:miRNA from 3 species
AAGUGCUGUCAUAGCUGAGGUC